CGAAAGUUACGCUAAUACCGCAUACGAUCUACGGAUGAAAGCGGGGGACUCGCAAGAGCCUCGCGCGAUUGGAGCGGCCGAUAUCAGAUUAGGUAGUUGGUGGGGUAAAGGCUCACCAAGCCAACGAUCUGUAGCUGGUCUGAGAGGACGACCAGCCACACUGGAACUGAGACACGGUCCAGACUCCUACGGGAGGCAGCAGUGGGGAAUUUUGGACAAUGGACGCAAGUCUGAUCCAGCCAUUCCGCGUGCAGGAUGAAGGCCCUCGGGUUGUAAACUGCUUUUGUACGGAACGAAAAGGUUUCUAUUAAUACUAGGAGCUCAUGACGGUACCGUAAGAAUAAGCACCGGCUAACUACGUG
rnacentral:rRNA from 1 species